rnacentral:misc_RNA from 1 species
CCUAAUGAUAUUGAUUGCGUGAAGUGCUCACACAGAUUGUCUGAUGAAAAAGUAAUGAGCAAAAGCGCUACCUGUUGAUGUAAUGAGUCUCUGACUCAUGCUGAUACGAACCGAUUAAGACGUUCAGUUUAAUCGGAUUUUCGUGUCCCCAUCGUCUAGAGGCCUAGGACACUGCCCUUUCACGGCUGUAACAGGGGUUCGAAUCCCCUUGGGGACGCCAAUCCGAUAAUGAGUGAAAGACAUUAUCACCGGUUAGUCAUAACCGAAAAAAUCUUAAAGAUGACUCUUGCGAGUCGUGUUUAAGAUAUUGCUCUUUAACAAUCUGGAACAAGCUGAAAAUUGAAACAUGACAGCUGAAACUUACUCCUCCGUAGAAGUACUGGAGUAAGGAGUACCCUGUCAUAGAGUCUCUCAAAUGUAGCAGCACGAAAGUGGAAACACCUUCGGGUUGUGA